rnacentral:rRNA from 1 species
GACAGAGGCCACGAACGUUGUUCGGAAUUACUGGGCGUAAAGCGCGCGUAGGCGGCUGGGUCCGUCCGAUGUGAAAGCCCCCGGCUCAACCGGGGAAGUGCAUCGGAUACAGCCCGGCUUGAGGACGGUUGGGGUGAGUGGAACUCCUGGUGGAGCGGUGAAAUGCAUUGAGAUCGGAAAGAACACCAACGGCGAAAGCACUCUGCUGGGCCGACACUGACACUGAGAGACGAAAGCUAGGGGAGCAAAUGGG